rnacentral:rRNA from 1 species
AGUCACUGACAUUAGAUACCCCCGUAGUCCCAGCCCUAAACGAUGCGCGUUAGGUGUAUCGGUGACCACGAGUCACCGAGGUGCCGAAGGGAAACCGUGAAACGUGCCGCCUGGGAAGUACGGUCGCAAGGCUGAAACUUAAAGGAAUUGGCGGGGGAGCACAACAACGGGUGGAGCUUGCGGUUUAAUUGGAUUCAACGCCGGAAAUCUUACCGGGACCGACAGCAACAUGAAGGCCAAGCUGAAGACUUUGCCGGAUUAGCUG